rnacentral:lncRNA from 1 species
CCUGAAUUACAGCAGAAGAGAUUCCAAAAGGCAAAGGAAUCACCAACAAUGAACCUGAACUUGUGCUGCACACCAAGUGCGAUGUACAAACCCUAUCCUGAUCUUUGCGUUUGGUCAACCGGACCGUCUGUGUGUGUCGUUUCUCACCAGUUAGAAACCUGUGCUCUGCUGAGCCAUCGAGACAUUGAGUUGGAGGAUGAAGAGGCUGAAGAAGUUCCUGUUCUGUGCUUCUGCAAUCAAGCUGAUGAGCAGCAGCCAACCAGUGAACCCUCCUUCUGUGUGAGAAUCCCCAGCAGACCAAACAUCAGUCAACUUAAUCCAUUAUCAUCAGACAAUCUGGCUCAUCAAAGUGAUAUAAUGCCACUUUGUAUCCAUGGUAACUGUCAGGAAUUUCCUAGGAUGGGAAUGCAGGGAUGGGGGUGUGUUCAUAGGCAGCCUGUGGUGGAACAUUUGGAUCCCUGUGCGCUCAAGCCUCCAAUUUUAUCUCAUGCAGUGAGGGCCAACGUGGCUGUGGAAGUUCAGUUGGUGGAAGAGGUUUUUGUUGAGGACACGAUCGAAGUCAUAAGAGAAGACGUUUAUGCAGAUGACCAGUUUCAUCUGGAGAUGCUACAGCACGAUGAGAUCUACUCCACACCAGCCUGAUGCAAAGAACAACUCAUCAUUGCCCACUAAUCAUCAUAUCGAUCAAAUUUACAUUUAUUUCUAUCUAUAUUUUUGUCUUCAGAGUUAUUCAAGUUAUCACAAUCUGUAUAUUACCAUUAUAGUUAUAUCACUGAGGUUGCUGUAGUCUAGCCUAGAACUGGGAGAUUUAUCGAAAUUACAAAAUUGCCCAUAUCGUAUGUAUAUUUUUUAUAGCUAAUUUCGUAUUAAAGUUUUAGGAAAAGCUGCUUUUGCUACUUCUCUGAAAAAAAUGAAAAGCACAGAUGGAUCACUGACUGUGUUCUAACCCAGACCUUUCCUAAACAAGCCACAUUACAUAAUUCACUCACACGUGCUGUCCCUUACAGGAGAAAAAAAACUAAAGGGACACAUAUUGUGCAGCUGUUUGCUAAUAAAUGUGCCUGUGUGGAAUUUUGCA